rnacentral:rRNA from 1 species
UACGUAGGGGGCAAGCGUUGUCCGGAUUUAUUGGGCGUAAAGGGCGUGUAGGCGGUUGGUCAAGUCUGAUGUGAAAGCCCGGGGCUCAGCCCCGGAAGGGCAUCGGAAACUAGCCAGCUGGAGCGCGAUAGAGGAGGGUGGAAUUCCUGGUGUAGCGGUGAAAUGCGCAGAUAUCAGGAGGAACACCGGUGGCGAAGGCGGGACUCUGGGCCGAUACUGACGCUGAGGAGCGAAAGCGUGGGGAGCGAACAGG